rnacentral:lncRNA from 10 species
GGAAGAGAGGAGGAAAGAACAGAGGGGAAGAGAAGAUGGGGAGCUGAGAGGUUAAAUGUCUGAUCCAAGAUCACAAGCAAGUAAGUGGGAUCUGGUGUACCCUCAGGAUGCUGUCUCUGAAACCCUGUGUCCUGUGAAUUUCUCUCCCCAGACACCCCCUUCCACUUCCUGCGCUCCCCUACCGUGCUGCAAGCACCCCCAUGGCAGAUUUUCAGCCUUCAGUCGGUCUCUUAGGCCAGACCCUGCAUUAUCCUGUGAUCCCCAGCUCAUGGCACAGUGUCUGACUCAUACAAGGUGUUCAAUAAAUAUUUGUUGAAUAAAUUGAACUAAACCCGAGACUUCUGACUCUAAACUCAUAGUACUGGAAUCUGUUUCAGCCAAGUCACUGGCUGCAAGAAGUAUUCUAUAUUUACUGAAGAUUACUUAGAAAACAAUGACAAAUAUUUUAAAAAUGUAAAGAGGCAAAUCUCAUGAUGCAGAGAUAAUUACAAGCUACAUUUUGAGAUAUUUCCUCCAGCUUUUCUCCCAUGAAUAUAUGUUCUAUAGACUGAGAUUAUAAAUGAUUUAACAUUGGACUCUAAACAUCUUUCCUCAUCAUUUUUUUUUUAAAUCCUC